rnacentral:misc_RNA from 2 species
UCCCCCCUCAAGCCUCUGCGCUUGGUGUUGGACGGUCUGGUCGAGCGAUCGACCCCUCCCAAAGACAAUGGCGGCGGCCUGUGGGACCCCCGGUACACUGAGCUUCUUCAACCGAGCACGUACUGGACGAGGGUGCCCGGGACCCGACCCUCUCCUUUCACUAGGAAACUUUUAUAC